rnacentral:snoRNA from 1 species
ACAACGUGAUGAGAAACAUUGGUCCGUGUUUCGGAGGCAGCUUAAGACCCUGC